ensembl:lncRNA
CCUGGAGUCAGUUCAGUACAGUACCUGGAGUCAGUUCAGUACAGUACCUGGAGUCAGUUCAGUACAGUACCUGGAGGUGUUUCAGUACAGUACCUGGAGUCAGUUCAGUACAGUACCAGGAGGUGUUUCAGUACAGUACCUGGAGUCAGUUCAGUACAGUACCAGGAGUCAGUUCAGUACAGUACCAGGAGGUGUUUCAGGACGGUCCCGGGAAUAGGAAUUUAAAGGCGAUCGUGCACACACCUCUACUCAGUGCCAGUGGCCUGUUAAAACAUAGGGGGGUAAAAAGCUUUUUUUCCAUCACCUUGUGCAGAUGACCAUUGAAUCGGUUUGAUCUUGUCUGAAAUAUUUUCACACCUACAAAAUAAAUGUAGUUGCUUUAUUGACUGUCUGCCUUGCUGUAUUUUUUUCACAGCCCCGACUAGUCUUCAUAGUUCAUUUGGACAGUGAAGAUAACGGCGUUCCUAUUUUAUUUUGAUAUCGACUUCUAGAGCUGCGGGACUCGAGUCCGGUCUCGAGAUGUUUUCUGUGUUGUUGUAAAUAUUGUUUGCGUUGUCUUAUCUUUUCGAGUGCAC